rnacentral:lncRNA from 1 species
GAGGAAGGAAGCAAAGAGAGGCAACAAACCGGAGAGUCGACAGAGAGAGCAGCCUGACCCAGUGGAAAUAGAAACACAGAGGAGGACAGAAAGAAAAGGCAGCGGAGUUACCUAUCCAGCCACCAAACUAAACAGAGGGAGGAAGGAGAGAGACAGAGAGUGAGACAGUGAGAUAAAUCCCAUCUUUCUAAGAAGGGAUUCUGGGUGGAAUGACCCUGUCAUGAUGCCACAGCCGUGCCACACCCCACGCCCAGGGGACCAAAGAGGGCGUUUCUGGCUAUCAGCCAAGCACAGAGGAUGCCCCAAUAGAGUUAUUUCUGAUUCCAGUUCAGAGACAUUUCCUCUCAAGACACUCUUGCAUCACUGACACUCCGCCCCUCUGGUCAUAGCUUCUGUGCCCACCUGCUGCUUCCUCUAGAGUCCUUACUGUUUCCUGGUUACCUAUCUUGGGAUGUUGGCGUUGUUUUGUGGCAGCUGCCAUGGAGAUAAACAGAUUCCUUUAGUAGACCAUUUUAGACACAACCUCCAGAUGUUUUGCAAGAUGCAGGUUGUCCACACUGGCAGGAUUAGACAAGGACCGGCUCAGAGGUGCUGUGGGGCUCAGCUUCCUAAUUCAUACUAUUUGACGACAUCACAGCAGGAAGUAUAGAACUUCCUAUUCCUGUGGAACAUCUUACUCUGCCUCUUGGCACUUGUGAGGACCUACUUGACCCUAUUGCAAGUUAGUCAA